rnacentral:rRNA from 1 species
UACGUAGGGUGCAAGCGUUAAUCGGAAUUACUGGGCGUAAAGCGUGCGCAGGCGGUUUUGUAAGUUUGUCGUGAAAGCCCCGGGCUUAACCUGGGAAUUGCAUUUGUGACUGCACGGCUAGAGUGUGUCAGAGGGGGGUAGAAUUCCACGUGUAGCAGUGAAAUGCGUAGAUAUGUGGAGGAAUACCGAUGGCGAAGGCAGCCCCCUGGGAUAACACUGACGCUC